rnacentral:rRNA from 1 species
GACGAACGCUGGCGGCGUGCUUAACACAUGCAAGUCGAACGCUGAAGCUUGGUGCUUGCACUGGGUGGAUGAGUGGCGAACGGGUGAGUAAUACGUGAGUAACCUGCCCUUGACUCUGGGAUAAGCCUGGGAAACUGGGUCUAAUACUGGAUACGACAUGUCACCGCAUGGUGGUGUGUGGAAAGGGUUUUACUGGUUUUGGAUGGGCUCACGGCCUAUCAGCUUGUUGGUGGGGUAAUGGCUCACCAAGGCGACGACGGGUAGCCGGCCUGAGAGGGUGACCGGCCACACUGGGACUGAGACACGGCCCAGACUCCUACGGGAGGCAGCAGUGGGGAAUAUUGCACAAUGGGCGGAAGCGUGAUGCAGCGACGCCGCGUGAGGGAUGACGGCCUUCGGGUUGUAAACCUCUUUCGGCACGGAAGAAGCGAAAGUGACGGUACGUGCAGAAGAAGCGCCGGCUAACUACGUG